rnacentral:rRNA from 1 species
UCCCAUGAAGCUUUUUUGAGUAUGUGCUAACUUGUGAUAAUAGGUGAACCUGCGGAAGGAUCAUUAUCGAGUUUUGAGAUUUCGGUCUCUACUCCCAUCCUUUGUUUACUGUCUUUGUUGCUUUGGCGGACCUGAGCUUUGCUCUGCUGGUCUUCGGACUGAAUCGAGUUCGCCAGAGGAAUUUUUAAAUUCGCUCAACAGAAGUCUGAAAAAAAAUCAAUUGAAAAAAACUUUCAACAACGGAUCUCUUGGUUCUGGCAUCGAUGAAGAACGCAGCGAAAUGCGAUAAGUAAUGUGAAUUGCAGAAUUCAGUGAAUCAUCGAAUCUUUGAACGCACAUUGCGCCUUUUGGUAUUCCGAAAGGCAAGCCUGUUCGAGCGUCAUUUCAACCAUCAAGCCUUGCUUGGUAUUGAAGGAAGUUUUUCAACUCCUUCAAAACUCUUUAGCGGUGUCUUUCAGAGGCUCAAGCGUAGCAAAUGUUUCGCUUCUGACUCUCUAGACACUAGCUCUACUCCAUCUGAAUUUUGACCUCGGAUCAGGUAAGAAUACCCGCUGAACUUAAGCAUAUCAAUAAGCGGAGGAAAAGAAACCAACAGGGAUUGCCUCAGUAACGGCGAGUGAACCGGCAAAAGCUCAAAUUUGAAAUCUGGCUACCGCCCGAAUKGUAAUUUGAAGAGGAUGUUCUGGAAGUCGUGCUCGGUCUAAGUUCCUUGGAACAGGACGUCACAGAGGGUGAGAAUCCCGUACGUGGCCGAGUGCCCAUCCGUGUAGAGCUCCUUCGACGAGUCGAGUUGUUUGGGAAUGCAGCUCUAAAUUGGAGGUAAAUUUCUUCUAAAGCUAAAUACCGGCCAGAGACCGAUAGCGCACAAGUAGAGUGAUCGAAAGAUGAAAAGCACUUUGAAAAGAGAGUUAAAAAGUACGUGAAAUUGUUGAAAGGGAAGCGUUUGUAGCCAGACUCGAAGUUGGUUGCUCAGCCGGUCUCUGCCCGGUGCACUCUUCCAACUACGGGCCAGCAUCGAUUCGAGCGGUCGGAUAAAGGCUUGAGAAACGUAGCUCCUCGGAGUGUUAAGUCUCUCGCACAAUGCGUCCUGCUCGGAUCGAGGGAAGCGAU